rnacentral:rRNA from 1 species
CGAACGGGUGAGUAAUGCGUGACCAACCUGCCCCAUGCUCCAGAAUAGCUCUUGGAAACGGGUGGUAAUGCUGGAUGAUCCAACUUGACGCAUGUCUUGUUGGGAAAGUGUUUAGUGGCAUGGGAUGGGGUCGCGUCCUAUCAGCUUGUAGGCGGGGUAAUGGCCCACCUAGGCUUCGACGGGUAGCCGGCCUGAGAGGGCGGACGGCCACAUUGGGACUGAGAUACGGCCCAGACUCCUACGGGAGGCAGCAGUC